UACGUAGGGGGCUAGCGUUGUCCGGAAUCAUUGGGCGUAAAGCGCGUGUAGGCGGUCCGGUAAGUCCGCUGUGAAAGUCGGGGGCUCAACCCUCGGAUGCCGGUGGAUACUGUCGGGCUUGAGUACGGAAGAGGCGAGUGGAAUUCCUGGUGUAGCGGUGAAAUGCGUAGAUAUCGAGAGGAACACCUGCGGCGAAGGCGGGUUGCUGGGCUGACACUGACGCUGAGGCGCGAAAGCUAGGGGAGCGAACGGG
rnacentral:rRNA from 1 species